rnacentral:rRNA from 1 species
UUUGCCUACGGGGGGCAGCAGUGGGGAAUAUUGCACAAUGGGGGGAACCCUGAUGCAGCGACGCCGCGUGGGUGAAGGAGCACCUCGGUGCGUAAAGCCCUCUCGGCAGGGAAGAAACAGACGGUACCUGACUAAGAAGCCCCGGCUAACUACGUGCCAGCAGCCGCGGUAAUACGGAGGGUGCGAGCGUUAAUCGGAAUUACUGGGCGUAAAGCGCUCGUAGGCGGGAUGUCAAGUCAAGGGUGAAAUCCCCGCGCUCAACGUGGGAACUGCCUUUGAAACUGGCAAACUGGAGGGUGUGAGAG